GAUGAAGAACGCAGCGAAAUGCGAUAAGUAAUGUGAAUUGCAGAAUUCAGUGAAUCAUCGAAUCUUUGAACGCACAUUGUGCCCGCCAGUAUUCUGGCGGGCAUGCCUGUCCGAGCGUCAUUUCAACCAUCAAGCCCCGGGCUUGUGUUGGGGACCUGCGUCCGACGCAGGCCCUGAAAACCAGUGGCGGGCUCGCUGUCCACACCGAGCGUAGUAACUAACCUCGCUAUGGAGUGGCGCGGGCGCCUGCCGUAAAACCCCCAAUUUCACAAGGUUGACCUCGGAUCAGGUAGGAAUACCCGCUGAACUUAAGCAUAUCAAUAAGCGGAGGA
rnacentral:misc_RNA from 1 species